rnacentral:rRNA from 1 species
UUGUCCUACGGGGGGCAGCAGUGGGGAAUAUUGCACAAUGGGGGAAACCCUGAUGCAGCAACGCCGCGUGAGUGAAGAAGUAUUUCGAUAUGUAAAGCUCUAUCAGCAGGGAAGAAGAUGACGGUACCUGAUUAAGAAGCCCCGGCUAACUACGUGCCAGCAGCCGCGGUAAUACGUAGGGGGCAAGCGUUAUCCGGAUUUACUGGGUGUAAAGGGAGCGUAGACGGCAUAGCAAGUCUGAAGUGAAAGGCGGCGGCCCAACCCCCGGACUGCUUU